rnacentral:lncRNA from 1 species
GGUGUUGGUGCUGGUUCUGGUAAGAGCAAUUGACAGUCGUCAAUGGCCACUCUUUCUGCUUCCUCAACCUCACUCCUCUGUACCUCUCCUUCAUCUUCCAAUCUUCCCACACCUUCUCUCUCUCUUCCUCAACGCCUUUCUCUCUCCUCUGCAUCCUCUCAAUAUCUCUCCUCUUUCUCUCUCUUCAUUGCUCAUAAUAGUACAUAUCAUGCAAGGAGGAGUAAUUCUCUUUCCUCCUUCACUGUUAAGGCCAGUUCUUCUGCAGAGAAGAAGAAAGUGCUCAUAGUCAAUACCAACAGUGGUGGGCAUGCAGUCAUUGGCUUCUAUCUUGGUAAACAGCUUCUGGGUUCUGGCCAUCAAGUCACCAUAUUGACUGUUGGAGAAGAGAGCUCGGAUAAGAUGAAC